AAUAGCUGAAGAUCGGCACUGGAUUUAAGGUUGGGUUGGUAAUUAGCCGCACGUUGUGGAUUGCUGGAUCGUAAAGUCCACCCCAGGCGAUCGCCUUUGCUACCAGCAAUAGUGCUCCAGUUCCUAACAGCAUCAGAUGAAUACCUAGGAUUGUCGUCAUCUGGCUGGCAUCAUCCCA
rnacentral:antisense_RNA from 1 species